GGGUUUGAUCCUGGCUCAGGAUGAACGCUGGCGGCGUGCCUAACCAAUGCAAGUCGAACGGACUGGCAAGGGGUAGAAGGGUUGGAGAGGGCGGAGGGUGAGAAAUCAUUUGAAGCUUUUGAAGGCUUGGAAGCCCAUAGCCGGUCAGUGGCGGACGGGUGAGUAACACGUGGGAAUCUACCCUGGGGUGGGGAAUAACAGAUCGAAAGGUUUGCUAAUUCCGCAUGUGAUCCGCGAGGAUGAAAGGGGAAACUCGCCCCGGGACGAGCCCGCGGCCGAUUAGCUAGUUGGCAGGGUAAUGGCCUACCAAGGCGAGGAUCGGUAGCUGGUCUGAGAGGACGAUCAGCCACACUGGAACUGACAUACGGUCCAGACUCCUACGGGAGGCAGCAGGAAGGAAUAUUGCACAAUGGGGGAAACCCAGAUGCAGCAACGCCGCGUAAGCGAAGAAGGCCUUCGGGUCGUAAAGCUUUUUUCCGAGGGAUGAGGAAGGACAGUACCUCGGGAAUAAGUCUCGGCUAACUACGUGCCAGCAGCCGCGGUAAAACGUAGGAGGCGAGCGUUAUCCGGAUUUACUGGGCGUAAAGGGCAAGUAGGCGGUAGCCAAAGUUGGGUGUGACAUCUCCCGGCUCAACUGGGAGGGGCCACUCAAGACUAGGCAACUAGAGGGCAGGAGAGGGAAGUGGAAUUCCUAGUGUAGCGGUGAAAUGCUCAGAUAUUAGGAAGAACACCAGUGGCGAAGGCGGCUUCCUGGCCUGUACCUGACGCUGAGAGGCGAAAGCUAGGGGAGCAAACGGGCUUAGAUAUCCCGGUAGUCCUAGCCGUAAACAUUGGAUACUGGGUAUUAGGGGGCUAAAAUCCCUUAGUGCCGAAGCAAACGCGUUAAGUAUCCCGCCUGGGGACUACGACCGCAAGGUUAAAACUCAAAGGAAUUGACGGGGGCCCGCACAAGCAGCGGAGCGUGUGGUUUAAUUCGAUGCGACACGAAGAACCUUACCUGGGUUUGACAUGGAUGUAGUGGGGGAGCGAAAGCCGACCGACCCUUCGGGGAGCAUUCACAGGUGCUGCAUGGCUGUCGUCAGCUCGUGCCGUGAGGUGUUGGGUUAAGUCCCACAACGAGCGCAACCCCUGUUGCCAGUUAGAGAUUUCUGGCGAGACUGCCGGCGUAUAACCGGAGGAAGGUGGGGAUGACGUCAAGUCAGCAUGGCCUUUAUAUCCAGGGCUACACACACGCUACAAUGAUCGGUACAGAGGGCAGCGAAGCCGCGAGGUGGAGCAAAUCCCAAAAAGCCGGUCUCAGUUCAGAUUGCAGGCUGUAACUCGCCUGCAUGAAGUCGGAGUUGCUAGUAACCGCAGGUCAGCUAUACUGCGGUGAAUACGUUCCCGGGCCUUGUACACACCGCCCGUCACGUCAUGGGAGCUGGCAAUACCUGAAGUCGGUGAGCCAACCGCAAGGGGGCAGCCGCCUAAGGUAGGGCUGGUGACUGGGACGAAGUCGUAACAAGGUA
rnacentral:rRNA from 1 species